rnacentral:SRP_RNA from 1 species
CAUGAGGUUUGACGGACGAUAUUAUUUUUAUACCGGGUCAGGUUCGGAAGAAAGCAGCCCAUAAACUUAACAUCGGGUUGUCAAAACCUCAUUUUU